rnacentral:rRNA from 1 species
GGCAAAAGAGAGCUUGAUUGCAAGACAUACAGGUCGAGCAAGGAUGAAAAUCGGACUUAGUGAUCCGGUGGUUCUGCGUGGAAGGGCCAUCGCUCAACGGAUAAAAGCUACCCUGGGGAUAACAGGCUUAUCUCCCCCAAGAGUCCACAUCGACGGGGAGGUUUGGCACCUCGAUGUCGGCUCAUCACAUCCUGGGGCUGUAGUAGGUCCCAAGGGUUGGGCUGUUCGCCCAUUAAAGUGGUACGCGAGCUGGGUUCAGAACGUCGUGAGACAGUUCGGUCCCUAUCCGUCGCAGGCGUAGGAAAUUUGAGAAGACCUGUCCUUAGUACGAGAGGACCGGGAUGGACGUACCUCUGGUGUACCAGUUGUCCUGCCAAGGGCAUGGCUGGGUAGCUAUGUACGGAAUGGAUAAGCGCUGAAAGCAUCUAAGCGCGAAGCCAACUUCAAGAUAAGAUUUCCCACCGAAAGGGUAAGACCCCAGAAAGACUAUCUGGUUGAUAGGUCGAAGGUGUAAGUGCAGCAAUGUAUUUAGCUUAUCGAUACUAAUAGGUCGAGGACUUGACCAAU